AUUGAACGCUGGCGGCAGGCCUAACACAUGCAAGUCGAACGAGUGGCGGACGGGUGAGUAAUGUCUGGGAAACUGCCCGAUGGAGGGGGAUAACUACUGGAAACGGUAGCUAAUACCGCAUACCAUCGGAUGUGCCCAUAUGGGAUUAGCUAGUAGGUGGGGUAACGGCUCACCAAGGCGACGAUGCCUAGCUGGUCUGAGAGGAUGAUCGGCCACACUGGAACUGAGACACGGCCCAGACUCCUACGGGAGGCAGCAGUGGGGAAUAUUGGGCAAUGGACGAAAGCCUGAUGCAGCCAGGCCGCGUGUAUGAAGAAGGCCUUAGGGUUGUAAAGUACUUUCAGCGGGGAGGCGUUACCCGCAGAAGAAGCACCGGCUAACUCCGUGCCAGCAGCCGCGGUAAUUC
rnacentral:rRNA from 1 species